UUCAGAAGGCCUCUGCAAUGAAGUGGUAGAUAAGUUGGUGAAUCAGCUGAAGUUUUGUCCUGGCUUUCACUCACAUCACCAGCAGCCAAGCCUGGAAGUGAGGAACUCAUGCAUCACUGUGUCAAGGGUUGGACAAUUGCUUCUUUUCAAGUGAGGCAGAAUGGUCUAGUGGACUGCACCCAGGGCUGGAGCCAAGAACUGCUGAGGUCUAAUCCUGCAACUGACACAGUGUGUGACUUUGAGUUCUUCUCAAACACUCUCCAGUUUGCCAAUAUCCUUCUGGAAUUGUGGAUGCCAGAACUGGACACAGUAUUCGAGCAGUGAUCACACCAGUGCCAAAUACAGAGCUGCAUGUGUUUCAAGGAUCACAGGAUCUUCUCCUUCCCAGAGGCUAGCGAAGAUUAGAAGGCGAAAAAAAUGCACUUGCGAUUAAAUGUUCUCUGAGCUUAUGCUGUCCUCCCACACUGACAGAGCACAGACGAAUGCAUGGAGGCAGACAAUGUCAGAGAGCAGGAAAGCACAAAAUGACCGGGAGGAGAGGUGGCGGGCUGAAGAGAGUAAGUGGAGGGCUGAAGAGAGGGCUGAAGCUGAAAGGUGGUGGCAGCAUGAUGAGAGAAGGCAGGAUUCAAUGCUGAGGCUGCUGGAGGAUCACACUAAUAUGCUCCAGCAUAUGGCUGAGCUGCAGGAAAGGCAGCAGGAGCACAGACCGCUGCUACAGCCCCUGUGUAACCAACCACCCUCCUUCCCAACUUCCAUAGCCUCCUCACCCAGAUGCCCAAGAACAUGGUGGGGGGCCCUCCGGCCACCCAGCCACUCCACCCCAGAGGAUUGCCCAAGCAACAGAAGGCUGGCAUUCAAUAAGUUUUAAAGUUUUAAACUUUUAAAGUUCUGUGUGGCCUUGUCCUUCCCUCCUCCACCACCCCUCCCAGGCUGCCUUGGCAGUUAUCCCCCUAUUUGUGUGAUGAAUUAAUAAAGAACGCAUGAAUGUGAAGCAAAAAUGACUUUAUUGCCUCUGCAAGUGGUGAUCGAAGGGAGGAGGGGAGGGUGGUUAGCUCACAGGGUAGUAGAGUGAACCAAGGGGAUGGGGAGGGUUCAUCAAGGAGAAACAAACAGAAUUUUCA